rnacentral:rRNA from 1 species
UGGAGGUAUCAGAAGUGCGAAUGCUGACAUAAGUAACGAUAAAGCGGGUGAAAAGCCCGCUCGCCGGAAGACCAAGGGUUCCUGUCCAACGUUAAUCGGGGCAGGGUGAGUCGACCCCUAAGGCGAGGCCGAAAGGCGUAGUCGAUGGGAAACAGGUUAAUAUUCCUGUACUUGGUGUUACUGCGAAGGGGGGACGGAGAAGGCUAUGUUAGCCGGGCGACGGUUGUCCCGGUUUAAGCAUGUAGGCUGRUUAUCCAGGCAAAUCCGGAUAAUCAAGGCUGAGGUGUGAUGACGAGGCACUACGGUGCUGAAGUAACAAAUGCCCUGCUUCCAGGAAAAGCCUCUAAGCAUCAGGUAACAUCAAAUCGUACCCCAAACCGACACAGGUGGUCAGGUAGAGAAUACCAAGGCGCUUGAGAGAACUCGGGUGAAGGAACUAGGCAAAAUGGUGCCGUAACUUCGGGAGAAGGCACGCUGGUGUGUAGGUGAAGCCCCUGCGGGU